rnacentral:rRNA from 1 species
UACGUAGGGCGCAAGCGUUAUCCGGAAUUAUUGGGCGUAAAGAGCGUGUAGGCGGCCUUUUAAGUCCUGCGUGAAAUCCUGCGGCUCAACCGCAGACGGUCGUGGGAAACUGGAAGGCUAGAGUGCGGGAGAGGAGAGUGGAAUUCCCGGUGUAGCGGUGAAAUGCGCAGAUAUCGGGAAGAACACCCGUGGCGAAGGCGGCUCUCUGGAACGCAACUGACGCUGAGACGCGAAAGCGUGGGGAGCAAACAGG